AGUGAACGCUGGCGGUAGGCCUAACACAUGCAAGUCGAGCGGCAGCACAGUAAGAGCUUGCUCUUACGGGUGGCGAGUGGCGGACGGGUGAGGAAUACAUCGGAAUCUACUUUUUCGUGGGGGAUAACGUAGGGAAACUUACGCUAAUACCGCAUACAACCUACGGGUGAAAGCAGGGGAUCUUCGGACCUUGCGCGAUUGAAUGAGCCGAUGUCGGAUUAGCUAGUUGGCGGGGUAAAGGCCCACCAAGGCGACGAUCCGUAGCUGGUCUGAGAGGAUGAUCAGCCACACUGGAACUGAGACACGGUCCAGACUCCUACGGGAGGCAGCAGUGGGGAAUAUUGGACAAUGGGCGCAAGCCUGAUCCAGCCAUACCGCGUGGGUGAAGAAGGCCUUCGGGUUGUAAAGCCCUUUUGUUGGGAAAGAAAAGCAGCAGGUUAAUACCCCGCUGUUCUGACGGUACCCAAAGAAUAAGCACCGGCUAACUUCGUG
rnacentral:rRNA from 1 species